GUAGGUGAACCUGCGGAAGGAUCAUUAUUAGUUUCUACUUCACUCUCAGAGAGUGAAGCUACUACAGAGCUCACAAUUCGGGCCCUCAGCAUAUAUAUGUGUAUGAGGUCUCAAUUGUUACUUUGAACCCAUUGUGAACCAUUUAUCUUUUGCUUCGGCAGCACUGUUUGCGGAAAACUGCUUGCAGGUAAGGCUGUCAGAAGCUCAUAACAAAACAUGUUGAUGAAAUGUCAUGCUGUCUGAUGCACUU
rnacentral:misc_RNA from 1 species